rnacentral:rRNA from 1 species
AUUGAACGCUGGCGGCAGGCCUAACACAUGCAAGUCGAGCGGUAGAGAGGUGCUUGCAUCUCUUGAGAGCGGCGGACGGGUGAGUAAUGCCUAGGAAUCUGCCUAGUGGUGGGGGAUAACGUUCGGAAACGGACGCUAAUACCGCAUACGUCCUACGGGAGAAAGCGGGGGGAUCUUCGGACCUCGCGCCAUUAGAUGAGCCUAGGUCGGAUUAGCUAGUUGGUGAGGUAAUGGCUCACCAAGGCGACGAUCCGUAACUGGUCUGAGAGGAUGAUCAGUCACACUGGAACUGAGACACGGUCCAGACUCCUACGGGAGUCAGCAGUGGGGAAUAUUGGACAAUGGGCGAAAGCCUGAU